UAUAAUUAUUUAACUUUCUUUGAAUUGGUUUUGUUCACAAAGUGAGGUAAUUACCUAAAUCCAGGUCUUUUGCUCAUUGGGAUUCUCUGGAUUUUUUUAUUUUUAUUUUUUGGCUUUUUUCUCUUGAUAUUAUUAGAUGGGUAUUUUUAAAAUUGUAUUUUAUUAAUACCAUUAUUAUUAAUUGAGUGAAUUAUUGGGUUCAGAUUUGACAGAUAAAUUUGCCUUCUUUCUUCUUCUUCUUUGUGAGAUGUAGAGCAGAUGUUAAUGGCGGAGGAUCAAGAAAGAGAGCACAGGCUGUUUCAUUGGCAGGAUUUUUCAACUAGAAAAUUGAGUUACAUACUAUAUUAGCAAGGACAAUAAAAAUUAUCAUCACAGAGCAAUGGACGAAACUCGGCCUAAACCCUUCCCUAUGUCAAGGAGACCGAAAGUAAAGGAGACAAGAAAUUGCAUCGACCAGUUGAAUCAUAUAUACAACGGAUACAAUUUAUGAACAGAACCUCUGAAGCUUGGACGAAUCGAUAUCUAAUCUUCUAAUUCAGGGCGCUCGGUUGACAUUCAUUUUACAAAGGUUGGCUUCAGAGAAAGGGUGUGCGCUGCAGCCCGCCAAGAAGAGGAACUGGGAACUGAGAACCGAGAAGACGGUAGUAUAACCUGUAAUCUCAUCGGUUCGUAGGAACCACAAAUGAGACACCUGCAGCUGUACAAACAAACAAGCCAUUGGAGAAAAGUUUAAAGCUCCAAAUAAGAGAUCAAGUUGUGUAAACAUAUGAUAAAUGAAUGAAAAAUGACAUAAGCAGCAGUAGAACAUCCUAGAACUGUGAAAGAAAGAGUGAAAAGCUGCAAAUUAUCAGAUGGGGCAAAGUAAGCUACUCAGCUCCAUAACAGGGCCCAGGCCUCUGCUUGUUAAUGCUUUGAAUAAGUGGAGGAAAAGGACACCAGCUUUAUACUUUUUA